rnacentral:lncRNA from 1 species
GACUCCCGUCCCUCCGGGUCAGCGGAGAGGGGCUUUGUGACCGGCCCAGGAGUCCCAGCAAGACAACCGCCCCGGGGCGGGGUGGCGCCUCCCCCUUGGCGGGAGCCGGCGCAGCCUUCCCGCCCGGGGAGCCGCGGUGGCGAGCGGCGUACGGGCCGGGCAGAGCACGGAGCUGGCGGCGGAGCUCGGCGGGAGAGCACGGCUAAGCGGAGGGGAGGGCCGGAGGGUGGGGCGGGGCGGGGCUGGGCCGGGCUGCCACGGAGCCCGGCGCCUGCGCCUCCGCCUCCCGCGCCCGCGGCCGCCGCAGCCCGGGCCUUGCGGGCCGGCGAGCAGGCGGGGACGCGUGUGUGCCCUGGCCGGCGACCUGCGCCGGGUGCCGGGAGGUGCGCAGAGGCGCGGGCUGGACCUGGGACGGCAGGCUGUCUCUCGGGUGCGGGGUGGGAGGGGUGAGGAGGAAGGAAAGGGAGGGGUUGAAAGGCCAGGAAGAAAGGGGAGUGCAAAUAUUGUGACUGCUGGGGACUGAGACUGUCUGUGGCGCAGUCGGUGGAGAUCUGCACUCCAAGCUGGCGGUAGGCUGCGGAGAAGUCCGACUGCCCCUCGUCUGGAACUGUCGCUCUUCCCUCUGACUGCUGCACAGACAACCGUCACUCAUUGCUUUUAGAUCCUGCGACUGGUGGGGAAAGCUGCCCACUACUCGCCAUUUAUUCUAGAUUCCCCAAGGGCAGGAUCUUAAUUAAGCUGACUGUUUUCUGAAGAAGCUUCAGCUCCGAGAAUCCCUGGGACGUUGCCAACACUGGGGGUGAAGGUGAAGGGGAACCUGUCCUUUUCCUGCUGUGUUCCCCGCCUUACCCCUCGGCCAUUGCCUUUCGUUUACUUCUCCAGUCUCCUGUCCUCGUAUCUUAGAUGGGUCAAAGCAUUAAAACGGGACAAACCUGUAUGGCAACGCAUCCCAGGUAUACGUGAAACCGGAAGCAGGAGCACUUCCGAAGUUCGUUGGACCAUCGCGGGGAAGCGCAGCUCCUCAAGGCUCCGUGGGUUGGUGGCAGCCUCGGGGGCCCUGCCCAUGAGCCGAGCGUGGUGGAUGCCGAUGCAUUAAGUGAUCUGGAGACACUCGGUCCUCGAGGUUCUUCCUCCAACUGAGUUAUUAUAUAGACUGGGACGUGCCAGGCCUUUCAAAAGUCAAUCAGCAUCGGCUUGUAAUUUCCUUCCUCAGACUUCUAAACCUACAAUCUUCCCACCCAUUUCUAAGCAUUUUGGAAUUUCUGUUCCCAAAUCUUGACUGAGGAAGCUAAAGGGAAGGAAAUUCAGAUCACCGUAGCUUAAGUUAGAAAAAAGAAUAGUUUUUUUUACUUAAAUGGUAAAUCAACAGCAAAUCACCUAAUAAAAAAUAUUUAUGAAUAUCUGCGGCUUAUUUUUGAAGUUUUAAAUUCUAUAUAUCAAUUACCCUGUUUUCAGUUAAAUUUGUUAAAGUUGAUUAAAACACUGAAAUCGAGUCAGUCAAUAAAAUCAAUAGUGCAAGUUUCUUCUAGUAAAAAAGAUCCUCUUUUGGUUUGACUAUGGCUCGUACUAAUUUGCUGCGCACCUAUUAGUUUCAUUUGGUUAAGUAUGUCAAAAUUUUUGAAAUCACUUUCGUUAUCUAGGCUUAGAGGACGUCUUGAAACUAAGCAGAAAAA